UGACUGGUUUGGCAUCGCCCUCACCCUGUAGUCUGAAUAAGAUAACAGGGCAGAAAGACGCAUCGGUGGAGGUCCCUUGUUACCUUUGCUGUCCUGUGUGCGCCAUGCUGUUUCUCCUCUGCAAGGCCUGCUUGCCAUCCCUGCCUUGGAGCCAGCCGAUGAUGGACUGAAGCCUCUACAGACUGUGAGCUAAAUAAACCCCUUCCCCUCCAACUUUGGGUGUUGGGUAUUUUGUCUCAGCAACGAGAGAAAAAACUAACAGACUCAUUUCAGAGUGAGUCUGGCUCUGAGUCAUAAACAUCUUCCUCUGCGUUGUUCUCUGUCAUGAUGAUCAGAGUUACUAAAGGAAAUGGAAGGGUACUGGAGUGUGUAGGUAUUGCCAAGGUAGAAACUUCCCCUCCCCUUUGGAACCAAAUCCUGGGCACCCUGGGCUCUGACUACAGGGCGGGCUCCAGGGUGCAGGAAGGAAGCCAGCGGAGAGAACCCCUCACCAGGGAACGUGGAUCUCGCCAAUAUGGGUCACAGGCUGGGCUUUUCUCUAAGUACCUGAGAUGCACUGAUUUGGUUGGUUCUUAGUUAUGAGGUUAGUACCCUUUGAGUGGGGACCAAUGCUCUUGCUUUUGGACCUUGACACCCUGUCACUGGCUGCCACUGCUGGCCCUCUGCCCCGGAAGCUGCUGUCCUGGCUGGAACACAGGGGACACUUGCUCUGGACCCCAGGCUUGGGCCCCAGGUAGCCGUGGGGACACAAGCUGAGCCUCUGUGGUCCAGCAUCUCUCAUCAAAGCCAGUGGCUGGUUAGAAGCCUCCAGGGGUGAACAGCCCCAUGCCUGUCCCGGGCGCUCAGAAACCCUCCCUGCAUGACGGCCUGGGAGGAAAACUGCAAAAGGUCAGAUCCAUUACAAAUCCACAUCCAACUGUGAAAUGAGAAAUGGUAAUAGCCAUGCAUCUGUUGAAACAAAGGGAAAAUAUAUCACCUCAAAGGUAUGUGAAAAUUCCAGAAUUUUGAUAUAAACCGUAUUUUAAGGUUUAAAUAUUUCAUUAUUCCUUUGCAUUUGUGGUUUCUAAAAAUAAACAAGGCAUCUCUUUCAAUUAGACAUUUUAUAAAUUCUGGAAAUGUACUUUUAAAAACUAGACCAGCUUGUCCACAAGUCUGCUAAGUUCAGACAGCUUCAGUCAUGAUUCAUUAUACGUAUGCAUUAAGUGACUCCAUGCAAUUAGGCACAUACACUUCAAAAUCCUACUUCCUAAGUAGGCUCAAUAGCCAGCCUCCUUCUUUGGUAAUAAACACUCUUGUAUAAAUGUUUGUUCCUGUGAAUUUCCAGCGUCUACCUGUGCCACCAGGACUCAAAGUGUCUCCCUGCAGGUACAGCCUGUUCGUCAAGGACUGGCCCUCUGUGGCAUGUGGGGUGCUCACACCUGCCUUCCCUCCUGGUGGGCAGACAGUGUGCCUUAGCAUCUUCAGUCUCCACUUCGAGUGUGCGUCCUGGCCCCUCCUGGGUUCUCCUUCCAGGAUUUCUAAGUGACCUGCUGAAUUUUGGAAUAGACCUAAAAUAAAAGCAAAUAACAUUUAUAUACUCACAUGCAGAGGAUUCACACCUGUUACAUAGAAAACUGGGAUCUUCGCAUAACUUCAGUGACUGAUAUUUUGCAAAGUCUGGCCUUAAGGCAGGAAGAAAGAACCAUUACUACUGGUUUCUGUAUAUGGACAAAGGCUGAUUUCUGUUAGAUUUUUUGCGAAUAAAAAUAUCAGUAACUAAAAACAAGAGUCAAAAUGUUUAGUGACCCAUUCACCUUUCAGGCAUUGGAAAUUGGAGACUCUUUCAUAGGAUUGUUGAGUAUUAGCAAAGAAUAAUCAGAGGUUUGCUUUUUUAUCUUGGUCAUUAAACUGGAUAUUAAAAUCUUUGGAAAGGAGUUCCAGUUGGCUCCCUGUGGAACUGAGCCUCCUACUUCUCAUAGCAUUUACUUAUAAAAUAUGAUUUACUUAUGAAAUGAUCAUGUUUAAGCAGAGGACAAUACCUACAAAAGAAAUCUUCUUCUUCUCUUCCAGAUCCCACAGACCCUGAUCAAGACCCUUCAAAUCAUUACCACGGCACCAGCAGCGGCUCCAGGUGGCAGCCGCCAUCCUGGUUCCCUUCUUUGCUCUAAUCUUAUCAGGAUUUGCCUUUUACCUCUACAAACACAGAACAAGACCAAAAGUUCAGUACAAUGGCUAUGCUGGACACGAAAACAGCAACGGACAAGCUUCCUUUGAAAACCCCAUGUACGACACGAACUUAAAGCCCACAGAAGCCAAGGCCGUGCGCUUUGACACGACUCUGAACACGGUGUGCACGGUGGUAUAGCCCUGGACGCUGCUGACUCACAGCCAUACCUCUGAAGGACAAGCAGCCGCUCCUCUGGUGCCAUAGACCAACUUCCUUCUACCCUUGCUUUGCCGCAGCACCCUCGUCCAUCGUCCUCUGGGGUCCACGUGGCGGGAGCCUCCCUACUCCCACUCCGCGCAGCAGUCUCCUGAGGCCCAGACCGGCGUGGAUUUCUAACGCGUCCGCUGGGACCCAGGCAUGCUCCGGGGAGAAAUCUGAGUGCCGUGACACGCGAGCUCCGCGCCUCAGACUCCCGGUCUCUCUGUGGCUGGGUGUCAUUCCAUGCAACCUCGGGGCACGCGGAAGCAUCUCUGGGCACGGUGACAGCACAGGGGCACCACCGUCCGUGUGUUAAUUUUCCUUGGAGCCCCCACGGACACGGACGCCCGAAGAGAAAAAGAAAGUUUUCUUGAAGACACCUUUCUAACAGACGCACACGCCUACGAGAGCUUCACUCUGUCCUUCCUGAGACCCAGCAAGCUUUGAGGACCUCACGGCUCCCGAACGUUCACCGUGAGGGACAGUCGCCAGUUUCCCAGCCAGCUGUUCUAUUGCAGAAUUUUUGAUGCACAAUUUUUUGCACUAGGGUGUUAUGAAUGAUUGAGUAAGAUUCUAAAAAUAAAAACUAUUCACACAGGGUUCAUACACAGUAUAUGUUGUAUAUAAGCCUCCUUCAUAGUGUCGGCCACAUAUCCCACCAUCGGUUCAGCUGGAGUGUAAGGAACAGAGUACCUGGACACGCCCGGGACAGACUUUAAGGGGAAAAGCAGUACUAAAGAAAUUUAUUUUGUUAUUGCUUCUACUAGCUACAUGUAUUUUUAAAUUCAUUGGAGAUGUCCAACAAGAACAACAGAGGCCUUUCACUUUCCAUGUUUGCUUCCUUUCGGGUCAUCGUGGCCAGGGUAUUGUGUCUGAUGUACAACUUCCUGCCAGGCAGUUGGUCACGAUUUCCAUUUGCAAUGUACAGAUGUGAAUAGUAAUUUAUUUUAGGUAGCUCACGGACCUGUGGGUUUUAGCUCAUAGCCAAGCCUUCUCUUUUAUGUCACUGUUUCCUUUCUUUUUCUGUGACGUCGCCCCCUGCUAUUGCAUUGAAAGAUGGCAACCUCAGUCCCUCCUCAUCUCAGUGGAGCUGUCUAGGAUUGAACUAAUGUCCCUCUGGAGGAAAGGCAAGAUCACACGCUCUCCUCUCAUGAUCAUCUACUUUAUCCUUUUGUUUCAUGCUCUGGAGUUCCAGACAGAGGAGCAUUUCCGUGAUUCUGUGAGCUUACAGCUCAUUAUAGGCAGAUUAUGCAGCAUGGAAUGAAUCAAACAGGUCGUGCUUCCCAAGCAGAUAAAAUUUUAAACACAUGGAUAGUGGUGACCACGAGAAUGUUCUGUAACAAAUUUGAAGUGAAGAUCAUGUUUAUUUUUAUUUAUAAUUGUUUGAUAAAGGUAUUUUUGAACAGAUACGCUUAUUUUGUUAUUUGAUGCUGAGGUACAUAUCCCACACCAUGAAGGGUCCCCCUGCACAUCCCAGACCUGCUCCGCGGAGCACCAGACAUAGCCAGCCUUGGUUUGCUAUGUGAGGAUGCUCACUCCUAGAUCAGGAUGGGAGCAGGCGGCUGUGAGUGCAGGAACUGCAAGUGACAGGGAAACCAGGAGCCUGCCAGGAGACCAGCCAAUUCUGGAAGUCCACACUCUGUUCUGAGUGUCCUGUAGGCCGUGUCCCUGUCUCCUUCGAUGGGCACCAGCUGCCAGGGGACUCCCUGCCCCCCCCCCUGGUGACACCUGUGCCUGAGUCCACGCUGCUGGGCUCCACGGUGCUGUACUGAACUCCAACACUGUCUCGGCAGAGCACGCCCUGGGGACCCUUCCCUAGCCUUGCUGGGCCCAUUUGGUGAGCUCCGUGGGAGCCACCCCCUAACACAUGGUGAGCCGAUAUGGACAGCAGCGGACGGAGUUAGGGGUCCGUGGUGUGCAAGGGAGAACAGGGUCAUAUACAGUAGGUGUAUAUACACACACACACACAUAUAUAUAUUGUACAUAUCUAAGUGUGUCACUCCGACGAGUGCAAACUGCUGACUUGAGAGUCUGAUCGCCUCCCUGUCCCGCGUCCCGCCUUGCUUGCUGGUCAAUGACAGGUGUGUCCUGCAGUGCUGGAUGCACCCACACACAGGAAUCCACAUGUCAGCCUAGGAUGGAGUCCCGCGUGUGCAAGGCCCGUGGGAGCUAGCUGUCUGCCCCCACCACAGGUGCGGAGCUCCGGGGAGGACAGCCCGUCCCUCCCAGGUGUGUGAGGUGUCUCCCGUGCCCCCUUCCGGUCCGCAGACACCGCCCACCAGGAGCGCAGAGUGGGCGGCUGGGGCGCAGUCCGGGCUUCACAGCUGUGCACACUGCCGCUUUUCCCCACAUCUCGCCUUUCUUCAGGCUAGCUGCAAUAAUUUUUCUCUUCUGUAAAAUAUUUUGUAAACACCAACAUAAAAAGCUGUUAUAAAAAGGGGAAAGAAAUCCGGCGUCAGGAUCAGGAACCCAACGCACCACCACGCCCCGCCGCCCACGCUGCUGUCACCAAGUAGGUGCAAAAGUCCUUUUUGUACAGAGAUAUAUUUUUUAUGAAGAAUUUGUAAAAUUAUUAAAUAUGCUGUAAUUUUUUGAUUAAUGUAGGUAAAUUGUUAAAAAAAUAAAUGUUUUUACAAUACAAACUGUAAUUUUCCCAAUAACGUAAAAUGUACCAUCUCUAGCUGAUUUUCAGUUCCAGUCCUAUUACCCACGUAUUAAUAUUCAAGUGGCCUGUUAAAUGAACAGUAUCUUUUUUGUCAAAGCAUUAUAAAGAGAGUGUAACAUAGCCUGUGCAAUGCCACCUAUCUUUAAAGCAAAUCAGAGUUCUAAUUAAAUAUUUAAUUUUCGAUUUCCA
rnacentral:lncRNA from 1 species